ACUCAAUAGAUACCCCGGUAGUCCACGCCCUAAACCGAUGUCUACUAGUUGUUGGUGGAGUAAAAUACCAUGAGUAAAACGCAGCUAAACGCGUGAAGUAGACCGCCUGGGGAGUACGGUCGCAAGAUUAAAACUCAAAUGAAUUGACGGGGGCCCGGCACAAGCGGUGGAUUAUGUGGAUUAAUUCGAUGCAACGCGAAAACCUUACCUGGCCUUGACGUGUAACGAACUUUCCAGAGAUGGAUUGGUGCUCGAAAGAGAACGUUAACACAGGUGCUGCAUGGCUGUCGUCAGCUCGUGUCGUGAGAUGUUGGGUUAAGUCCCGCAACGAGCGCAACCCUUGCCAUUAAAUUGCCAUCAUUUAAGUUGGGCACCUUAAUGGGACUGCCGGUGACAAACCGGAGGAAGUGGGGAUGACGUCAAGUCCUCAUGGCCCUUAU
rnacentral:rRNA from 1 species